UCAGUGGAGUUUUUUAACUCCACAAGCAGAGUUUAGUACAUGACAU
rfam:Gossypium raimondii chromosome 11, whole genome shotgun sequence.